rnacentral:tRNA from 1 species
GAGGGUAUAGCUCAGCGGUUAGUGUGUGCUUAGCAUGCACGAGGUCCUGGGUCCAAUCCCCAGUACCUCCA